UGCCCAGAUGGGAUUAGCUUGUUGGUGAGGUAACGGCUCACCAAGGCGACGAUCCCUAGCUGGUCUGAGAGGAUGACCAGCCACACUGGAACUGAGACACGGUCCAGACUCCUACGGGAGGCAGCAGUGGGGAAUAUUGCACAAUGGGCGCAAGCCUGAUGCAGCCAUGCCGCGUGUAUGAAGAAGGCCUUCGGGUUGUAAAGUACUUUCAGCGGGGAGGAAGGUGUUGUGGUUAAUAACCGCAGCAAUUGACGUUACCCGCAGAAGAAGCACCGGCUAACUCCGUGCCAGCAGCCGCGGUAAUACGGAGGGUGCAAGCGUUAAUCGGAAUUACUGGGCGUAAAGCGCACGCAGGCGGUCUGUCAAGUCGGAUGUGAAAUCCCCGGGCUCAACCUGGGAACUGCAUUCGAAACUGGCAGGCUUGAGUCUUGUAGAGGGGGGUAGAAUUCCAGGUGUAGCGGUGAAAUGCGUAGAGAUCUGGAGGAAUACCGGUGGCGAAGGCGGCCCCCUGGACAAAGACUGACGCUCAGGUGCGAAAGCGUGGG
rnacentral:rRNA from 1 species